AAUGUUUUGAGUUCAAGAAUACAACCAUGUCAGGUUUUCUUUCUUUCUUUUUGGUUUUUGGACGACAUUGAAAUUUGGUAUUGUUAACAAGGGGGCAAGCCAAGAAUUCUUUAGCAUGUUAAAGGAUUGCUUAGCAUAAGUUACUCCUGUCUGAGCAAUGGGUUGCUUUCAAAAAAGUUUGCAGGUCGAAGCUCAAAUCCAC
rnacentral:lncRNA from 1 species